rnacentral:rRNA from 1 species
GGAAUCUUGCGCAAUGGGCGAAAGCCUGACGCAGCAACGCCGCGUGCGGGAAGAAGGCUUUCGGGCUGUAAACCGCUUUCGGCAGGAACGAAAAUGACGGUACCUACAGAAGAAGGAGCGGCCAACUAUGUGCCAGCAGCCGCGGUGAUACAUAGGCUUCAAGCGUUGUCCGGAUUUAUUGGGCGUAAAGAGUUCGUAGGCGGUCGAGUAAGUCGGGUGUGAAAAUUCUGGGCUUAACCCAGAGACGCCACCCGAUACUGCUUAACUUGAGUUCGAUAGGGGAGUGGGGAAUUCCUAGUGUAGCGGUGAAAUGCGCAGAUAUUAGGAGGAACACCGGUGGCGAAGGCGCCACUCUGGAUCGAAACUGACGCUGAGGAACGAGAGCAUGGGUAGCAAACAGGAUUAGAUACCCUGGUAGUCCAUGCCGUAAUCGGUGGGCACUAGGUGUGGGAUUCUAUUAACGAAUUCCGCGCCGUCGCUAACGCAUUAAGUGCCCCGCCUGGGGAGUACGGUCGCAAGACUAAAACUCAAAGGAAUUGACGG